CCUUAAACAGGAAAUCAAAAGAUACAGCGAACAACAACUCGUCGGAUAAUGAUCAGUCUUAUUUAAUGUGUGGUAUCCACAAAAUACACAGACCAACAUCACUAUUUCUCUAUUGUCAAUGAUAGGGCCUCCCUAACCUCAUGCGCUGGCAUCUGUGGCGCCUCUGCAGAAAAGCUGGCUGACAUAUCCCGCAUGGAACAAGAUCAUCCACGAGGAAGCCCUCAUCCACCAUAAAGGCCAUGAUCAGGGAUAAGUAAGGAAAGAAUUCCUGGCUGCCUAACAAUCUCCUUGUCACUCACAGAACCAGCAUACAAAGAGGACACAAAAGUGACAACUCCGUGUGGUGACGUUCCCAACAUGCCCUUGAAGGGUGUGUAGCCUGGUUCUGGUUCAUAGCAUGGAGGUUCAGAAACCAACUAACUCAUGUGCUGAUGGAAUAAGGAGUUCCCUCUACAAAGCUCUCCCUGGACAAAUGCCUGACAUGGACCUUCUCCACGUCUCAGAAACAUAUGCUAACUUUACUCCACUAACUGCCCCUCAUGUGACAACUGUGGACAUGCCAGCCAACAUUCCCCUGAUUAGGUCUGCCUUUGGACCAAUGCAAGCUGGCAGUGUCUUAACAACCUCAAAAACACAUUAAAUUGUGAAGAUACCUGAUGCCCCUUCUACUUCAACACUUCCAUUAGAUGGCAUGCUAGCUUCCAUCUUCUCGGUGUGUGUACAUCUUUAUUCAUCAAGAGCAGCUCCAUGACUAAGCAUUAGAGACAACCUACAAGAUGUCACAUAAAAUCGAGGAUGGUACAAGGGAGCAGAGCAGCAUCACAGAAUGGCAUCAGCUCAUGUUUUCCAGAGGUUUGCCAUGUACCAGGGGAGACAUCCACUGACCACCUAGUGGAACAGAUGUCCAAGGGUUCUAGUAUGCAGACCAUGGAGAUGAAAAGGUGGCUGCACAUUGAACAUUUUUUACUUCUUCCAAUGUGGCUUUGUAGUCCACCAAGAUGACCCAUGGUUAGGAUCGCCUCCAGGUGGCAUCCUAUUUGUAAGUUCCCACUUUGGUGUCUUGGAGGCUAAGUGGGCAAGUGUACAAAGUUAUGUGCCUUACCUGAAAAUACAGAAUGGAGAGCUUAAGUUGAAGAGACCACAUGUGCAAGGUGCAAGGUCAAAUCUUUCUAACAGGUUGUAGCUGAUGUGACUUUGUCAUCUGUGCUCAGGAGGACAUUCUAGUUGAGAGGAUAUAUAAAGAUCUUCAGGUUUCAAACACUAUUAGAGAGA